ACAGUAUGGUAUUACAAUCGUCUCAGGUGAACUGAUACACAGUCACACUUUACACUGUUUAGCUGCCAGCAUUUUAACCCUGUUUAAUCCAGCUACUAGCUAACGAUAGGCUAACGUUAGCCGCUGCCAAGUGUAGUGUUAACUAGCGUCACGUGCAGAGAUGUGUCCGUUGCAGGUAAUGUUUUGGAGCAUCAGAGAGAAGAACAGGCAUUAAAGUAGUACUGAA